rnacentral:rRNA from 1 species
GACAGAGGGUGCGAACGUUGCUCGGAAUUACUGGGCGUAAAGCGCGUGUAGGUGGUUUCGCAAGUCCGGUGUGAAAGCCCAGGGCUCAACCCUGGAAGUGCAUUGGAUACUACGGAGCUGGAGUCCUGAAGAGGAGAGCGGAAUUCCCGGUGUAGAGGUGAAAUUCGUAGAUAUCGGGAGGAACACCAGUGGCGAAGGCGGCUCUCUGGACAGGUACUGACACUGAGACGCGAAAGCGUGGGUAGCAAACAGG